UAGGGAAUCUUCGGCAAUGGACGAAAGUCUGACCGAGCAACGCCGCGUGAGUGAAGAAGGUUUUCGGAUCGUAAAACUCUGUUGGUAGAGAAGAACGUUGGUGAGAGUGGAAGGCUCAUCAAGUGACGGUAACUACCCAGAAAGGGACGGCUAACUACGUACCAC
rnacentral:rRNA from 1 species